GCUUGACUUUGGUGAAAGAUCAUCAUCUUCACAAAAAUGUAUUUGAGUGCAUUGGUAAAUUUUUAGCACAAUAAUAAGCUUCUUGAACAAUUUACUAGUCAAAGCAUGCUUAAUUAUCUGCAAGUAGAUUUAGUAAGGGCUAACAUGCAAAUGUGCUCAACCCUUGUGUGGCCAUGAGUUGCAACUAUCAAGCUUCAAUACUAGUAAUCCCUAUGAAAAUUGUUAUAUUACCAAAAAGGGACUUUUGCAAAUUGUUACUACAGAUCUGAAAGGGAAACUGUUUCACUAACUCUCCAGAAAAUCAAUGCUUGCAUAUAUGACUUACCGUGAUGCUUUUACAAGAUUUCAAAGGAAGCUGCUGGAGUUUGGUUCUGUCACAAACUCUUGGGAGAAAUAUUAUUCUGUACUAGUUGCAUAUAUAGGAAUAUCGUUGAAGUUUACAAAUUCAGACAAGACCCAAAAGUUCAUAUAAUACAUUCCGUUGUUGUGUCAAUAGGAAAUAUUGAUAUACGGAAACGUGCAGAAUUUCACCACUCGAGUAGAAAACACAAACUAGACGCCCUAUUGUAUUAUACAUUUGAAGCAAUGUCUUAACAGCCUGUACUGUAUGCACACAUUUGUGGCCCCUGAAACUUCAAAACUGAAAAGCAGCAGCAUUUCGUUAAAUGUUGGGAAAAUGCUCUCUUUAUGGAUCUCAGCAGCAGUCUGUCUUAAACUUGGAUAUUUGGAGAAGCAUUUUCCAACAUACUCUCACAGAUAAAUGACUUGGGAUUGUCUGAUCUACCUUUCACUUGGAAAUGAUUUGGAAGGUUGUUUUCCCUUUUAACAUCUUUUGUUCCCUCAGGCUUCCCUGAAAGCCUCCAA